CACGGAGUUAGCCGAUGCUUAUUCAUAUGGUACCGUCAUCAAAGUACACGUACUCCUUAUUCUUCCCAUAUAAAAGCAGUUUACAACCCAUAAGGCAUUCUUCCUGCACGCGGCAUGGCUGGUUCAGUCUUUCGACCAUUGACCAAUAUUCCUCACUGCUGCCUCCCGUAGGAGUCUGGUCCCUGUCUCAGUACCAGUGUGGGGGAUCUCCCUCUCAGGACCCCUACCUAUCGUAGCCUUGGGGUGCCGUUACCACUCCAACUAGCUAAUAGGACGCAUGCCCAUCUUUCACCAUCGUAAUUUAAUUAUCAAAUGAUGCCAUCCAAUAAUAUUAUGGGGUAUUAAUCCAAAUUUCUUCGGGCUAUCCCCCUGUGAAAGGUAGGUUGCAUACGCGUUACGCACCCGUGCGCCGGUUUCUGCCCCGAAGGGCUUCUCCCUCGACUUGCAUGUGUUAGGCCUGCCGCUAGCGUUCAUCCUGAGCCAGGAUCAAACUCU
rnacentral:rRNA from 1 species